rnacentral:rRNA from 1 species
AUGAGUAGUGGUGAGCUGGCACGCCAGGACCGACCCAGGAGCCGUGACACGGAGAUGGAAUGCGAGGAGGAGGAGGAUGAGACGUGCAAAAUGCUCAGCGAGGAGGAGGAGGAUGAGGAGGAGGAGGUGGAGAUGUGGGACAAGAAGGUGCAGAGCCGGAAAGCAUCCACUGGAAGCCUGGAGAAGGGGAGGAGAAUGGAAGAGCCCAUCGAACUGAGCGAUGACGCCGAUGACAAUGAGACGAUAAUGGAAAUGUCGAAGAAGGCAGCCAAUCACAAGGAGAAGAAGAGGAUGCACAAUGACGAUGGUGGCCAUAAGAAGAAGAAGAAGAAAUCUAUGAGCAGCCAUGGUGGUGACAAGAACACAUAUAGUGCCGAUCGUGACAAGGAUAAGAGGAGGGACAUGCUGCUCUCGCCCAACAGGAACAAGGACCCUUUCCAUUUCAAGGAGAAGAGCGGGAAAAUGCCGAGCAGCCACAGCGGUGAGAGGAAGAUGCACCGUGGUGAUCACCACAAUGAUAACAAAGGCAGUAUGAUGUGGAGGUCUGAGUAUGGCAAGUACAAGGGGAUGCAAAAAAAGGAAAUGAAGAAGGAUAAGAAACCGUGGCCCGUGCAUAACGGUGGCAGCAGGGAGGGGGAGAAGAAGAAGACAGCGCUCGUUCUAUCCAAGGAGGGCAAAAUGCCUAUGCUGCACGACAGCAGCAACAAGGGAAACAAGAGGUCAAUGAUGUAUGAUAAGGCGAAGAAGCUGCGGACCAGUGACAAGGAUGAGAAGGCGGGGAGUUAUGACAGAAAGAAGACAAUCCCGGGCAACGCAGGGCACAAGGUGCAAAGUGAUCUCAAAGAGAAUAAAAAAGUGAAAUUUAGAUUCUCCAAGGUUAUUCAAAGCGAACAUUUCGAGGAAUUCCUGUUGAUACCACCAGAGGUGGCAGAGGCACCCAAAAUGGUGGGCUUCACUAAUCGUCAGGUAUGUCUUGAGGACUCAGAGGGGAAGUCUUCAAUGGUCAGGCUAUCAGUGGUAGAUGGUUCCCUAGCUUUUUAUCAGGGGUGGAACAAUUUUGUUUCAGACCAUUCAAUUAAGUGGGGUGAACUCCUUGUGUUCGAGUACACUGGCCGUUCAAAGUUUUUUGUGUGGGUCUUCGGUGCGAAUUCUUGGGAGAGAGCAUCUUUCAGUGUUGAAAGGCGAGGUGAAGAGAAGAAACGGAAAGAGAGUAGCCAUGCACCUGAUGGUUUGGUCCCAUGUCAUACGUUUCGGUGCUCUAGAGACAUAAAUGGUCAUCACUAUGUUUCUGGUGAAUAUAUUGGGAGCAACAGGCCGAAAACAAAGCCUGAUGGAUAUACAGAUAAUGCUGAGGUUUCUCCCAGUAAUUUAGUCGCUAAAUCUAUGAAUGCAGUUCCAGGGACACGUCGUAUGUCUGCCAAUUCAACACAAGAUCCUAAUGGAGUAGUAGGCGGGAUCGUACGUGGAUCCUCAAUGGCUCCAGAUAACAAAGAUGGACAUUUGGCGAAUGGGAAGCACACAGCAAAUGCUAUUUUUCCAUCAUAUAUCAAAGAUACUACAAGGAGCCCUGAAAUAAUUGUAAUGGCUGAUGAAGCUCCUUUAGCACAAGAAAAUAAUGACGCAGUGGCUCUUGAUAACAAAAAAGCAAAUCUGAGCAUUGGAGAGUGCAAAACGAAGUGCGAUGCUUCAGUAACGUGCAACAAUGAAAAAAUAACUAGGUUUGAAUUAGUCCCAGUUACUACUGAUGCAGCUCCUUUGUCACAAGAAAAUGGUGAUGCAGUCGAGCUAACCUCAUUUGUUGGUCACAUAGAAGAUUCAGUCAUGAUGAAGGAAUCUACUUCGGCAAAAUGUGCAGAAAUACACGGUUCAGGCGAAGAUUUAAGGAGGAAACAAGAAGGAAAUACAGUUCGAUUAGAAUGCACUGCUGCUGUGGACAAAUUUCCUAGCAAUAACAAGAUGGACACCAAUGGAAAUGCUUGCAGCAAAUAUGAAUAUCCAGGAGGUUUCCAGUGCUUGGAGAAAUGGAAGGAGGCUACUGUGAGUGGUCGAGAGGCUCUUGAUGGCAGUGGACUGAUUAGACCUGAAAAAACACGGAAAACUGAGGAGAAAUCGGUUGGUGCAAUGGGAGUAAACCCUGUUGAACGCGGGUAUGAUGGUACUCACUCCUGUGUGCCUAGCCAAAUAUCAGAGUCUGGGCUUACUAGGACGAAGACUGAACAUUCUGUCAAUGGAAAAGGCGCUACUGGUAAACCUGAAACAAAAAUAGAGCAAGUGGGACCCGUGGGAAGCAUUGGAUGCAGACAGGAAAGGAACAAUAUUUCUAUAAGUGCCAAUCGUGCAGUUGCACGUCAGACAGAACAUCAUUUCUUCCGACAGGAAGAUACGAAGUCUAGCAAUCCUGCGCCCCUGGUGCCUUUGCUGCCUGUCAAGGUUGAAGUUUCGGAGUUAGAUGAUCAUUGUCCCGUAUUGAAGGCCAAUUUACAGUUCGUCGUCCCUUCUACCGCUCAGACAAGGCUUGAGUUACCCGAUCCACUCUCCAAUGCUGUUGGGCGCAAAGGGAGGCUAGACCGGAACAUUGUAAUGCUGAAGGAUCCUAUGAAGAGACUAUGGCCGGUGUUCUACCAUGAGACCUCCUUAUUCGUGGGCUUCACCGGUGGCUGGAAAUCUUUCGUUGCAGCAAACAAGCUUGAGGCGGGGGAUCUCUGCGUGCUCCUGAUGGACCUGGAUGAAGAUGAGCUAGUGUACAAUGUUCAGAUCACCAGGAAAUGA